AACGAACGCUGGCGGCAUGCCUAACACAUGCGAGUCGAACGAGACCUUCGGGUCUAGUGGCGCACGGGUGCGUAACGCGUGGGAACCUGCCCUUAGGUUCGGAAUAACUCCCCGAAAGGGGUGCUAAUACCGGAUAAUGUCUUCGGACCAAAGAUUUAUCGCCUUUGGAUGGGCCCGCGUUGGAUUAGCUAGUUGGUAGGGUAAAAGCCUACCAAGGCGACGAUCCAUAGCUGGUCUGAGAGGAUGAUCAGCCACACUGGGACUGAGACACGGCCCAGACUCCUACGGGAGGCAGCAGUGGGGAAUAUUGGACAAUGGGCGAAAGCCUGAUCCAGCAAUGCCGCGUGAGUGAUGGAGGCCUUAGGGUUGUAAAGCUCUUUUACCCGGGAUGAUAAUGACAGUACCGGGAGAAUAAGCUCCGGCUAACUCCGUG
rnacentral:rRNA from 1 species